AAGUAACACCAUACCACCAUGAACGUGCCUGAUCUCAUCUGAUUUCAGAAGCUAAUCAGGGUUGGCCUGGGUAGUACUUGGAUGGGAGACCACUUGGGAAUGACUGGAGUGCUGCAGG
rnacentral:rRNA from 1 species